rnacentral:rRNA from 1 species
GGGGAAUUUUCCGCAAUGGGCGAAAGCCUGACGGAGCAAUACCGCGUGAGGGAGGAAUGCCUUUGGGUUGUAAACCUCUUUUCUCAGGGAAGAAGAUCUGACGGUACCUGAGGAAUAAGUAUCGGCUAACUCCGUGCCAGCAGCCGCGGUAAUACGGAGGAUGCAAGCGUUAUCCGGAAUCAUUGGGCGUAAAGCGUCCGCAGGUGGUUUCCAAAGUCUGCUGUUAAAGACUGGAGCUCAACUCCGGAACGGCGGUGGAAACCUGGAAACUAGAGUUCGGUAGGGGUAGCAGGAAUUCCCAGUGUAGCGGUGAAAUGCGUAGAUAUUGGGAAGAACAUCGGUGGCGAAGGCGUGCUACUGGACCGUAACUGACACUCAGGGACGAAAGCUAGGGGAGCGAAAGGGAUUAGAUACCCCUGUAGCCCUAGCUGUAAACGAUGGAAACUAGGUGUGGCUUG